rnacentral:rRNA from 1 species
AUUGAACGCUGGCGGCAGGCUUAACACAUGCAAGUCGAGCGGGGUGAUGGUGCUUGCACUAUCACUUAGCGGCGGACGGGUGAGUAAUGCUUAGGAAUCUGCCUAUUAGUGGGGGACAACAUUUCGAAAGGAAUGCUAAUACCGCAUACGUCCUACGGGAGAAAGCAGGGGAUCUUCGGACCUUGCGCUAAUAGAUGAGCCUAAGUCGGAUUAGCUAGUUGGUGGGGUAAAGGCCUACCAAGGCGACGAUCUGUAGCGGGUCUGAGAGGAUGCUCCGCCACACUGGGACUGAGACAAGGCCCAGACUCCUACGGGAGGCAGCAGUGGGGAAUAUUGGACAAUGGGCGGAAGCCUGAUCCAGCCAUGCCGCGUGUGUUAAGAAGGCCUUAUGGUUGUAAAGCACUUUAAGCGAGGAGGAGGCUACUUUAGUUAAUACCCUUGAUGAGUGGACGUUACUCGCAGAAUAAGCACCGGCUAACUCUGUGCCAGCCGCCGCGGUAAAAC